UGGGGAAUAUUGGACAAUGGGCGAAAGCCUGAUCCAGCCAUGCCGCGUGUGUGAAGAAGGUCUUCGGAUUGUAAAGCACUUUAAGUUGGGAGGAAGGGCAGUAAGCGAAUACCUUGCUGUUUUGACGUUACCGACAGAAUAAGCACCGGCUAACUCUGUGCCAGCAGCCGCGGUAAUACAGAGGGUGCUAGCGUUAAUCGGAUUUACUGGGCGUAAAGCGUGCGUAGGCGGCUAAUUGAGUCGGAUGUGAAAUCCCCGAGCUUAACUUGGGAAUUGCAUUCGAUACUGGUUAGCUAGAGUGUGGGAGAGGAUGGUAGAAUUCCAGGUGUAGCGGUGAAAUGCGUAGAGAUCUGGAGGAAUACCGAUGGCGAAGGCAGCCAUCUGGCCUAACACUGACGCUGAGGUACGAAAGCAUGGGGAGCAAACAGG
rnacentral:rRNA from 1 species